UAUUUAUUUAAGCAAACACGAGCUAUUUAUUUAAGCAAACACUGAACGAUUAUUACAGUUUUCAUAAUACAACCCGGAAGACCUUAUUUUAUAUUACUCUCCCACCUACUUCCUUCCACCUACUCCCUCUCACACCCACCUACUCCCUUCUUUUUGCAAACUUAAUAUAGCUGGUUGAUCCGAGCUUCCAUUUUCUAUCCUCCACAAUCAUCCCACACAUUUCAUCUCCCUCAUCAAUUUUCAGCACAUCAGCUACUGAACAAAUUCAGAAGAUUUGCAGAAUGAUAACCCAACAGAUUUCUUUUGAAGGCUUUGUGAUGACAAGGGGAUUAGCACUGCUUUCCCAAGACAGGUUAUGUGAUUAUGAUCUUCAGGCUUUGCCUAUCCAGGUUGAGCAGUUGAUGGAAUGGAAUGAUGUUGAGCGGGUGUUCCUUUGACAUUUCAAGAAAUGUAACCUUGAGUAUACAUCUUCAUAUGUAUAUCUCACACGUUUUCCGCUGCAAAACACUUUGAUUAGGAUAACUUAUGUUAUGAAUUGUGGACACGUGUUAUUGGGUAACCCACCUUAAUCAGUUCUCAUUUAUGUGUAUGUUUUAUAAGUAUCCAAAUGAUCAUAUAUGAUCCUAGCAUUUUAUCUAUGAGUGACAUUUCCAUAUACUUUAAUGUUAAGUAAUUGU